rnacentral:rRNA from 1 species
CCUACGGGAGGCAGCAGUGGGGAAUAUUGCGCAAUGGGCGAAAGCCUGACGCAGCGACGCCGCGUGAGGGAUGAAGGUCUUCGGAUCGUAAAACUCUGUCAGCAGGGAAGAACGGUCACUGUGCUAAUCAGCAGUGAAUUGACGGUACCUGCAAAGGAAGCACCGGCUAACUCCGUGCCAGCAGCCGCGGUAAUACGGAGGGUGCGAGCGUUAAUCGGAAUUACUGGGCGUAAAGCGCUCGUAGGCCGUAUGUGAAGUCAAGUGUGAAAUGCCCGCGCUCAACGUGGGAACUGCCUUUGAAACUGGCAAACUGGAGUGUGUGAUAGGAUAGUGGAAUUCCAGGUGUAGGAGUGAAAUCCUUAGAUAUCUGGAGGAACAUCAGUGGCGAAGGCGACUAUCUGGCACAUAACUGACGCUGAGUAGCGAAAGCGUGGGUAGCAAACAGGAUUAGAUACCCGGGUAGUC